ACUCAAAUGAAUAGACGGGGGCCCGCACAAGCGGUGGAGCAUGCGGUUUAAUUCGAUGCAACGCGAAGAACCUUACCUACUCUUGACAUCCAUGGAACCUGAUAGAGAUAUCAGGGUGCCUUCGGGAACCGUGAGACAGGUGCUGCAUGGCUGUCGUCAGCUCGUGUCGUGAGAUGUUGGGUUAAGUCCCGUAACGAGCGCAACCCUUGUCCUUAGUUGCUACCAGGUAAAGCUGAGAACUCUAGGGAGACUGCCGGUGAUAAGCUGGAGGAAGGCGGGGACGACGUCAAGUCAUCAUGGCCCUUACGAGUAGGGCUACACGCGUGCUACAAUGGAUGGUACAAAGGGAAGCAAAGUCGCGAGACGAAGCGGACCCCUAAAAAGCCAUUCGUAGUCCGGAUUGGAGUCUGCAACUCGACUCCAUGAAGUUGGAAUCGCUAGUAAUCGUAGAUCAGAACGCUACGGUGAAUACGUUCCCGGGCCUUGUACACACCGCCCGU
rnacentral:rRNA from 1 species